AUUGAACGCUGGCGGCAGGCCUAACACAUGCAAGUCGAGCGAGCGGCGGACGGGUGAGUAAUGUAUGGGGACUGCCCGAUAGAGGGGGAUAACUACUGGAAACGGUAGCUAAUACCGCAUACUAUCGGAUAACCCAUAUGGGAUUAGCUAGUAGGUGAGGUAAUGGCUCACCAAGGCAACGAUCCGUAGCUGGUUUGAGAGGACGACCAGCCACACUGGGACUGAGACACGGCCCAGACUCCUACGGAGGCAGCAGUGGGGAAUUUUGGACAAUGGGGGAAACCCUGAUCCAGCCAUCCCGCGUGUAUGAUGAAGGCCUUCGGGUUGUAAAGUACUUUCAGUCGGGAGGCGUUACCGACAGAAGAAGCACCGGCUAACUCCGUGCCAGCAGCCGCGGUAAUAC
rnacentral:rRNA from 1 species